rnacentral:lncRNA from 1 species
GGAAAAGUCAAAAUUACCAUGACGUUGUCUCAUGCAUCAUCAAAGGAGCCGGCCCCGUUUGGCAAUGCUACACUUGGUCAAGCUCCUGCUUCUGGUUCUGCUAGUUUUCUCUAUUGUUAAAUUAUGUUAAAUGUCCCUUAGAACUUAGGAGUUGCUUCAUCUUUCUCUCCAUGUUGUUGUUUUUUUUCUACUUCUUGUCUUCAAUAUAUCUUCUCUCAAAAACUAAAAAUGAUAUACAACUUUAACAUUUGUACCAAAAAAAUGUAAAUACUUAUUGUUAUACUUGACCACUAAAUAUGUUGUUGCAAUCCGUUUACUUUGGUGAAUAUCAUCAUCGGUAACUUUUUAAGAAUAUUGAUUAUUAAAAAUAAAAAAAAUCGAAAGGAAAAAGAAAAAUGAAAAUAAAAAAAAGAAAGACGAAGAGAAACAAUUUGAUUUGAAUUUUAUACAAAAAGAGAUAUUUUAGAAAUUUUGUUAUUUGUCACUGGGGAAUAUACAGUAAAUAACAUCACCCAAAAUAAACUUUAUCGGGUAAAUAUACGCCUUUAUCGAGUAUAUAUUAGUAUUUUAAGAGUAAAUCACUAUGCCAUUCGUGCCUCCCACAUUCCCUGUUGGGAAUUGAGAUUACAUAGGCUCUGAAUGGAAAAAUUGGAUCAAGCGUUGCGGAUCUAAUAGAUCAAGUGGAUCGAACGGAACAAAAGUGCAUCAAGUGGGUCGAGCGGAACAAGAGUGGAUCAAGCAGAUCUAGCGGUCUAAAAUAUACGUUUGAAUGAGGAAAGUGGAUAAAAAAUUGUCCAAAAUAUUGUAAAAAUUUUAAUAUAGUUUAUAUUAUAUAUAUUGUUUUAUUAUUAAAAGUAAUAAAUUAUUUUUGAGCAUUAAUAUUAACUAACAUAUCAAUUUAAAAUAUUUAAAUGCUUUUCAAAGAAAAAAUACAUUUUUAAUAUACUACAGAAACCCUAUCCCACCCCUCAACUCUAAAUCCUAAGUCUAGAUUAGUUAACCCUAGG